GUAUCUUAUCGAUUAUCCUGUAAUGUCAGUGUCAUACCACUCAUAUUCGGACAAGUCAAGGCUAAAAAAGUUAACAAAAAAAUGUAUACUAUUAUUAAAACUAUUUAUUCUCUUAAUUAUGUAUUGUGUGCAAGGAAUAAAAACAGAACGUGAUGUAAAUUAACGUGUUGAAUUUUUUGGUAAUCAGUCUCCGCCGCAAUUUGAUGCAACAGCUAUUUGCAUUGUUUACAUUUGAGCGCUGCCUCCGCGUUGAAAAGCAGAACUUUUUUACUUUAUGUGUGAUUUUAUAUUUAACAGUAAUUAGAUUAUCUCUGGUAAUUAGAUAAUGAUGGAGUAAGGCAAAUACUUAACUUUUUAUAUACAUCAUUAAAAGCUUCCAUUCGGAUUUCACCAUGUUAAAUAUGGCAUCAGUGGAAAGUAGGGGAAAAUUCGAGAGAAUUACUUAGCAACAGUAUUACAUGCCGUUCUAAAAACAAAACCCAGGAAUCACGCGGGCCUAACAAAAAGGU
rnacentral:lncRNA from 1 species